rnacentral:lncRNA from 1 species
UCUACAUCAACAAAAUCAUACCUUGACUUCUCUCAAUUUCUCCUUAAAUAUACCUUGGUGAUAGUCCCUACAUUAUAGAUAUUGAGCAUUGAAGGGGAGCUAUGGAGUGUAAUACUUAUAUAGUCUUCCAUCAAGACCUUUAUGUUCUUCAUAAUAAUUAACAUUACCAAUAAAUGGAGAUUAAUAACAUAUAUAUAUAUAUAUAUAUAUAUAUAUUGGUUUUGCACAGAUCCGUGUAUUCAUAAAUUAACCAUUCAAAGGGAAGCACACUAAUGGGCGAAGCAUUAUUAUGAUUCAAAUUUCUCUAAAGCCACACAGCUUAAAUUGAAGUCUUAAACCAUAUUAUGAUUAGAACAUGGACCAGUUUAUAUUCAAAUUCUGCCAGAGCUGUGAACUUAUUUCCUAAACAAAGCAACCCACACAAGGCUUUAUGAAAGCUUGCUGUCAGAAGGUACUUAUCGAAGGACCCCCAAGUCUGGCAAGUUCCUCAUAUUCUUCCAUUAAUACUCAGUAGUCACUGUUCUUCUCCAAUACUAGUAUAAGCAAAUCUGAGACAUCAAUAUUUUUCAUUCUAAGUUCGUUAAACCAUGAAAAACUAGUGGCAUACUUUGAACACAGAGAGAAAACUCAGACUAACAGAAACAUGCACACUGACUAAAUUAUAUCAUGUGAGCAUGGACAAGAUAUGAACAAAAAAAAAAGACAAGAAGACAUUAAACGGAUUCUUCGGAUGCAACAAAUCAAGAGUAUGUGAAAGAUGUGAAAGGCCGUGUGUGAAAGCCCCAAUCAAACGUUUGUUUCUACCCCACCUCAUCACCAUUUAACAUUUCUAUCUAACAAAGGACAACAAGACAUGUUAGGGUUCAACAAUUCAUACGAUAAAGUAAAGAUGCCAAUGUGGCAUCAUGUGGGUGGUAUGCCACCCUAGUGAUAAAUGUAACAUUCUUUUUCACGGAGCAAUAAAAUCACAUCUUUGCAAAAAAGAGAAAGUCUGUUGAUAUCAAACAACGUUUGAACCCUCAUAAAGAAAAUAUCAUAUUUGAACCCUCAUCUAACACGUGAAAAGAAAGAGAUGAUAUUAAACAAGUCGAGAUUGUGAUUCCCUACGCUAUAACAUUAAACGUAGUGUUUCAACCAAUAAGUGAGGUUGAAGAACAUAUCUUUUUGUCAAGUCUGUUGUAAUUUCUAAAACAAAAGCCAUGUAUCAUCACACAAUCAAUAUUAACCAUCUGGCCGCCGCUGUUGUACACAUAAUUAAUAUUGUAUAAAUAAUUAUAAUUUCAAUACUGUAGAUGGUUUGUGAAUGUUGAGAAAAAUAUAGGUGAAAGGCCAAUACCAAACCUAUAUACUGGACAAGAAAAUUUUCUUUUGAGAAACCUGCCUAACGAAAAAUAUAUUUUCAAAAAAUCGUAGUAGAGAAUAACUUGUUUCAAAAGCAAGAGUAAUCAGACGAGACCGCAGAAGGUUUAGGAUUUCAAGAUAAACCUUGAAUUGUGCAAUACAAUCAAUGUUUCGGCAAAACCAGAUCUUGCCGAGAGACAACUGCAAGUAACAAAAUGUAUGGCAAGCCUAAAGAUGGACAGUGUAUGACGAGCAAGCAAUUUUGCUGCUGACCAAGCAAGAAAAAAAGUGUGAGCAUGGGACCUAAUGAAAAUGAAGUUGUUAUUUUGGAGGGAAAAAUCGCCACGCCCAUGGGUUAAACAGAAGGUGAACAUCCUGAUUCUAUGUUUUUCAAAUUUUCUUGAAUCUUGAAUGUGCAGUUGUAACUCCAUUUUUGUAAAUCCACAGUCGGUGGCCCUUUGUAAUUCCACUUUUCGUUUACAAUGAACAUAGUUAGCCAAUAACAAAAAAAACAUAGAGUAAGAACACCUAACACUAGCAACACAACAACUACCAAGAAAAACACAAGCGAUAAAAAUAUAAAAAUUGGAAGAAAAAAAACGUACAUUGACAAUCCAAGCACCAGAAAAAUCAGUCACGAUACUUUCUAAACCACACUCUAUACAAGACCCCUAUAAAUUAUCUAACAUAUAUUAUUCUCCUUUACUAUUUGUCUGUUGUAUGGAUCAAUAAUAAUUCAAUAUACAACAGCUAGAAGACCUUUAGACAACUUGGUGGCUUAUUUUCUCUAGAGUAGACAGAUUGUACCAGCUAAGAAAAAAAAUGAUACAAUCAACAACCUGUGGGUUCCCAUCAGACAAUAUAGCCUCUAAUGCAUCUGUGUGUGCUGCAAUAACUAGUCCCAAUAAUCCAUAGCCUGCUCCAAGUGCAUGGAUUUGUUUUAGAUUGAUAUAUAAAUACAAGUAUACAACUACGAGUUUAAACCAUACCAUUACAAUAUAUAUACAAAGACACACACACUGUAAAACCCGGUUUAUAUUAUAAAUUUUUGUUCGUUAAAUUUUAUUGGAUUAUGAAAUAUUGCAUAGAUGUCUUUAAGGGUUUAGAGUUAAUUUUCUAUUAAGUUGAAGGAUGAUAUAUUAAUUAUUAAAAAAAAAAGAAAUAGAUGGAAUUGGGUUGGGUUGGGUAACAGAUUCAUUUAUGGUCCUAAAAUAAAGCCCAUUAACUUCUUCAUAUUAUUUAUAUUAAAAUCUUACGGUUUUCAUUCAUUUUUUUUAUAACACCAUAUUUGGGAGAAGAAGAAGAAGAAUUGGAAGAAAGCUAGAAAAAGAUUUGGAUUUUUAUGCUUAUACAAGUGAGUAGACGUUUCUUUGUUAUUGUUUCUAUUUCUGUUUUCUGAAAUUUCAGAUUGUUGACUCAUCUUUGAAAAAUCAUAGAAAAUUCGUUUGAAAAGCUUUUUAAUUGAUUCUAAAAACCCUGAGCACUAUAUUGCAAUGUCUUCGUUCGAUUAGUUAAUACCAAUUUACGAAAGUUAUGUUAAUAGAGUGAAAAAAUGACUUGCAAGUAUGACAACCGUUGCAGUUUUUAGUUUCUGUACCAUUUUAGUAUCGUAAGGUUUUGAUCCCUCUAGACUUAAUAAUAUUUAUUGAAAAUUUUAAGGUAGUUAGAAUACCCAAUGUUUAACAACAUAUAUAAAUUUCAGAAUUUACUGUGGGGUAAUUAAUUCUAAAUAAUUUAUUCAACGUAGUUAUUUUCAGAUAUCCAGUAUAAUUUUACUGCUACCUUUCUGUUUGCGUGGCUUUCAUAGAAAAAUCAUAGAAGACUCGUUACUCAACAUAUCUUGAUGAAUUUAGUUGUUUUAGAAAAUAGACCUUCUGAACUAUAAUUUCUAUGUUUAGAAAUACUUUAAAUUAUGAGGGUAAUAUGGUGAAAAAUGGUCAGGAAGUCUGACAUAGAUUGUUUUGGGAUUUCUUUCUGAAAUCUGGUAGGAUUGAGUAAAACAAUUGUUUAAUUAUUUUCUAUAUAUCGAAACUAUUCCAGAUUUUUAUCCCAAGUAAUAUUUUCAUAGUAAAAGGUUGUAUUAAAAUUUUAUGAGAUUUGAGUAAUUAUUUUUAGAUGUGUGAAUUUGAAAGAUGAAUGUUAUUGUUUGGCAGAUUUAUGUAAAGAGUUUCUUUUUAGCAUAUAUGUUUUCCUUUGGGUUUGUCCUUUUGUUUGAUUGUCAAGUUAAAAUAGACACAACUAAAAGUAGUCUAAAUAUGGAAGUGGAUUAGUAUAUAAUGGUAUGUUAAUUGAUUAAUUAUGUUUAAAGUAACCUAGAAAGUUAUAUUGAUGAACGCCUAGAAAUGGCUCCAUACCAAUGGAUGGUAUAUGAAUAGAAACGAAAUGAAUACUGAACUUUGGAUUUAAUUAUGGAAUGGUUUGAUACCAUGGACGGUAUAUAUUCAAUUUGGGAAAUAAGAACGGAAUACGAAAUGGACUUGGAAUUUAAUUGUUUGACAAGGGUUGUGUGAUUGCUUGAUUAGUUUAGUUGUUUUGGUAGUCGCCCAAGCAUUAGUACAUUUGUUGCACCUCUGAAAUUAGGUUAAAGAUAUUAAUUAUCACCCUAGAUGGCUUAGCCUGCAGGUUGACUCUUGGAUUAUAUUUGGGUAUUUCCUAGACGGCUUAACCUGCGGAACUGACCCUUCAGACUUUCAUAGCCAUCGGGGUUGGUCUGGGCGCCACAUUAGAAAGCUCAAGGGAGCUAUUAGAGAUCAUGAUUUAGGCAUACGUUGAGGUUAGCCAAAGCUUGCAGGUGAGCACCCACUUGGGUUUUGGUUUCCGCGUAGAGGCUCUUAACCAUGGUCAAGGCACACUGGUGCAGUGUGGGUAUGGCAAAUGUGUGGAGUGCAUCCUGUGGGAAGUGUACUAGUGAUUGGGCAUAGGUUGUGAUUUUAUGAUUAUUAAACCCGAGCACCGACUAGAGGCCAGGACGAGGUUUUGUGAUUUUGGAUUCAUUGUUUGGUAGUGUGCUAAAGCUUAUGGUAUUGUAGUGCUUGGUGUUAAUUAAUGAUAUGGGUAAAUUUUAUAUACUUUAAUUAUGAACCGGAGGUAACUAUGAUUAUAUGGAAGAACUGUGAUGUUUUAUUUAUUAUGGAAAUUAUUAGUAAUAAUUGGACUUGUCAUUUUGGUAGAUUACAAACUAUGAAUAGUUGGAAUGAAUCAUUAUUAAUGGUUUGAAUGAACGAAAUGUAUUUUUAGGUUGAUACAAAGUAUUAGAUAACACGUAACGUGUAUGUGAUUUGGUUUAUCUUUAUUAUAUUUGUGUAUUAUAUAUUAACUCCAUUUUGCAGGUGGAUAGGUCAACUAAUUUAUUUUGUGCAGGUGGAUAGACCUAUCCUUAAAGACAGUUGUUGCUUAGGUAAUGUAUUUGUAUUAUCGAUCAAUUAACAUCGUAAAUAGAUAAAUUAGAAUUGAAUAAUGAAGUUAAGCAUGUGAUUAUAUAAUGGAUAAAUUGUUUAAAUACAAUGGAAUUGAUAUGGUUUUUGGCGUAUGUUUAUUGUCUUAGCAUGGAAGAAUUGUUCUUGAAGGUUAAUUGUGUUGUUAAUCAUAUGUUGGAACUUUAUAUUUAUUAUGUUAUUUUGUGGGAAUAGAUUUCCCCGUUGUUUACUCAUACCGGCUUUUAUGCUGACCCAUGUUGCUUUGUUUUGCACGUGGGUGUGUUCCAUUUGGAAUUCCAUUUGGAAUGCAGGCAGGAGAGGUUAGAGCUAUGGAGCUAUGACAGAUCGCUUGUUGGGACCAGUAGAGAUCUUUAGAUGUUUCAGUCAUGUAUUUUUUUUUAAAGUGGUAUUCAUGUAUUUUGUUGGCAUAAGUUGUGUUGUAUAAUAGGAUAGAAUCGGGAGUACUUUUAUCGUUUGGAUUUUUCUUCACUGUAUUUUAUUUAAGAUUUUUGUUGGACCUGGUUUUUGAGUUAGAAAUUAUUGCGGCCUGGGUUUAUUUUAUAUUUUUUUUAAAUUCGGGUCGUGACACACAAAAAAGUAAAGAAGCAUAUAUUAUUAAGUAAGCAAUGUGAACUGCUGUUUCGAAGCAGGAAACACCAACAAAACAUAAGAUGCACUGCCUAGGGUCAUAAAGUAUGAGAAGAAGUAUUCUAGUGAUAUUAUGAACACAUUAUGAACAUAAACUGCUGUUUGAAAGCAGGAAACACCAAAAACAACACACCUUGCACAAAGAAAGUCAUCUGGUUGAAUCACUUUAUUGAACUGAGAUGCACUAUUACUAGAUGAACUGGCUGAUACAAAACUGACCCACUGUUUGAGUCAGAGAACUUUAGUAAAAGUUCUUUGAUUGGGGAUCUGUUUAUAAACGUAAUUGGAAAGUACUAGUCUUCAUUUGGUAAUUGUAACAACAGAUAUUCAUAUCACCAUUUUGUUUGAUAAAAAAUAUAGGGUAAUAUCCCAAAAAAGCCCCAUGUUUAGGUGUCUCUUCCCCAAUAGGCCCUGACAUGGGUCAUCUUCUCAAACAAGCCCUUUGACUAGAUCAUAUUUUUUUAGUAGGUCAAAAUUACCCUUUAUUCUAUCUUCUAAUUUCAACUUUUUAUCCUCUAAAACCAGAAUAAGACAAAAAAACAGAAAAAGACAAAAAACAGAAAAAGACAAAAAAACAGUUGGUGUAUAACUUUUUGGUUUUAACAUUUGAAAAUAUUAUAAGUUGUGUUUUAGAAAUCGAAAAUCAACAUGGUUUAUAUGGUUGGAAAGGUCUCGACGAGAUCUUUCAAACUAGAUCCCACAUGACUAUAAAAUUUUAAAUUUAAAAAUUUAAUUUUUUUAUAAAAAUUCAAAUAUUUAUAAAAAAUUCAAAAUUUCAUAUUUGCUUUUGGGAAAUUUCUCAAAAAACCACCACAUUUAGGUGUCUCUUCCCAUAUAGCCACCAAUGAGAGCUAAUCUUCCCAAAUAGCCACCUUACCCCACUUUCCUACUUUUUGUUUACAAUUAUACCCUUCUGUACAACUGUUGCUCUUGUCUCCAUCAAAUCAACUUUUUGGUCGAAAAGAAAAGAUUCCUUUAUUGCAUAUAAGUUUUAGACAAGGACAUUAAAUCAAACUUAACCGUUGGAUUGAAAACAAAAGAUCCCUACCGUUGGAUUUUCUAAUGAAUGUACUGCACAUACAACCACCGUGUCAUCUUCAUCUCUUCUUCUACUUUUUCGAUUUUUCUCUGAACCUUAACAUAGUUUGUUCUCCCUUUGUUCUUCACCUUCUUCUACAUUAUUCUUCUCCCCAACCUUAAACACACAAACGUACUUCUUCACACCCAAAAUGCCACCAAAGAAAAAGGCAAAAUCGAAAGCUUUAAUUGCAAAUGAAGUCCAGAUGAACAGUAAAUUAGGUAAGUAAGCUUUAAAUGUUCUUAAAUUUGCAGAUUUUAAUGUUUGGACAAUAAAGUAGGUGUUGUUGUUUGGCUUUGAAUGCAGUAGGUGUUGUUGAUUUGUGUAAGCAUUUUAACAUACGUUUUGUUCUGUUUUAUGACAAAAAUGUGGUGAAGGUGUUGGCGAUUUAAAGAUGGUAUCUCAUGAAAAGAUAGAAUCUUUAUAAAGAUACCAUCUUUAUGAACCCUAACCUUCAUAAAGAUGGAAUCUUUGAUAAAGAUUGUGUGUUUAUGAAAUCCCAACCUCAUAAAAGUUGUAUCUUUAGCAAACUCACAUCCUCAUAAUUUAGAGACAAGCUAACAUAAAUGGUGCUGUGAUUUUGAUUGUGGUUCAUUAUCAGUUUACUGGUGCACAUCUGAGGUCAAUGUCACUCUGUUUUAAAAGUAAACUAUAACUUAUAUUAAAUUAGAGGCUAAAUAAAAGUAUACUAACCGACUUGUUAGUUACUUUUAGCCGAUAUGUUUUAAUAAUUUGCAUGAAAUUGUGGUUUCAGGUAGCACUAUCAAUGUUGUGUUUCCCUAUGGUGGUCAGGUUGAGACUAAUGCAGAUGGAUUGUUAUCAUACAAGAAUGGUGACACAAAAAUAACAGUUUGGGAGUUGAAGGCACCAUAUGAAGAGUUUAUGGAGAUGGUUGAAGAUAUGACUCAUACACAAAGACACAAUUUUUUAAUUCAAGCUAUCGUCAAUGACAGUCCACGCAGCAUCCCUGCUUAAUAUGACUAUGAUCAAUUGAUAUUGGGGAUUGUUCCUGCCAAGAACUUAUAUGUCAUGUCUGUUUGGAUAGUAGGAGAUUUGAAAUCAAUGAAUGGGGAAUCAAGCUCCAAAACACAGAAAAAUGUGAAAGGAAAGGAGAAAGUAAUUGAGGAAGAAACACAUUAAGAUCGGUAAUCAUUAUAGAUGGAACAUUUCUGAAAGGGAGAUAUCCUGGAGUUGUACUAUCAGCAAUUGGAAUUGAAGGAAAUAAUCAUGUGUUCCCUAUUGCUUUUGCCCUUGUGCAAAAAGAAAACAAUGAGUAUUGGGAAUGGUUUCUUGAAAAACUUAGGGACCAUGUGGUUGGGACUGACCACGAGUUUGUGCUUCUUUGAGAUAGGCACAAAAGUAUUAUUCAAGCUGUACCAAAGAUUUUGCCCAAGGCUUGUCAUAUGUAUUGUGCCCAACACAUGUCCCUUAAAUAUGGGAAUGCAAAAGUAAGGUGGUUGCUUAAAGAGGCUGCCAAGACACUCAAUCAAAAUGAGUUCUGGGGUUUGCUGUUGCAAAUAUGGGCCAUAUCUCCAAAGGCAUACCACAGCCUAAUGGCAAUUGGACCACUAAAUAAGUGGGCUAGUGCGUUUCAGGAGAAACCCAGGUCGGUAUCUAUGCAUUUCAAUAUCCUCUACUAGUAGUCAUUCUACCGUUUAAUAAUAGUUAUAAUACCGGUUAAUUGUAUAUGUGUCUCCUCUUCUUAAGCAGAUAUGGAAUUAUUUACACUAAUCAUGUGGAGUCGUGGAAUAGAAUGAUUAUACCAGAAAGAAUGCUUCCUGCUACAAAUCUGGUCGAAGGAAUUCAUGCCAACAUCAUGAGGCAUUACAGAGAUUAUCGUGUUGAUGGUGAGAAAUUCAAGACACCUGUAACUAAGUGGUGCCACGAACAAAUUUUGCAUAAUGCUUGGAGAGGUAGAACCUUCACUCGUGAGAAGACAUCUCCAACUAUUUGGACAGUUUAUGGUGAAAGCAGGACAUGUGUGGUGGACUUGAAUGCAAGAGAAUGUACUUGCAAAUGGUGGCAAACUAUGGGAAUACCCUGUGAGCACGCAAUGUCUGCCAUUAGAGAAUGUCAAAUGGAUCCAUACACAUUUUUUGGUGUGUACUACAGAAGGGAGACAUAUAUGGAGACCUACAAAGAAAAUUGGAGACCCACAAGAGGAAAGGAUGAAUGGCCAAAGGAUAGAGUAGGCAGAAAGAUUCUUCCACCACUACCAUGUGUUAUGCCUGGACGUCCAAAGAAAAAGAAAAGGAGAGGCAAACUUGAAGGUAUCCCAGUACAGGAGAGAAGAUGCUCAAGGUGUAGGGGUACAGGACACAACAAAUCAACAUGUAUUGAAGUUGUACCAGACUUUGACUAUUUUUUCCAACCUUUACCUGAUGGACCACCUGAUUCCUAUUAAGUGUUGGAUGUUUUGUUAUCUAAGUUAUGCCUUUGGAAGGUGUACCAUAUUUUGACCAUUUUGUUUUAUGUUUGCCUUUUAUAUGGCACAUUUUGUAAGUUGCCAUUUUAUGAAUCCUUACAUAUGUAUCCGCUAGUUGAAAGAUUAAUAUCCUCUAACUGUUACAGGAGAGAAGAAGCUCAAGGUGUACCAUACUUUGAAUAUUUUUUGACCACCUGAUUCCUAUUAAGUGUUGGGAGUAUUUUGGAAGUUGUACCAGACUUUGACCAUUUUGUUCUAUGUUUGCCUGUAUAUGGCACAUUUUGUAGGUUGCCUUUUAUUUUGUAUGUUUCUUUGUUUAUCUUCCAGAUAUUACAUCUGUAUCCUCUAAUGGUGAUGAUUAGUAUCUCUAAAUAGUAAUUCUGUAUCCUCUAACUUAUACUAAAUAUUGGACGAACAGAACAUGUAAUAUAAUAAUACUUUCAUAAUUUGCAUAAGGGAAGGGAAAGGAAAAGGGUUUGUACAUCUAUCCAAGACAAGAAAAAAAAAAAACUUCAACAACAUAAAAAAAAAAACAGAAAACACUUCAGCAAACAUAAAAGAAAACUUUCACUCAUCAUCAUCGUAAUCUUCUUCUUCUUCUUCGUUUUCUUCUUCUUCAUUUUCACCAGAAAAGCUGCUCUCCACCUCAUCGUCCUCUGCGAUGUCCUUAUCCUUUGCAGCAACACAUUCUUGGGAAGAAGGCACAUCGCUGUCAUCAGGGUACUCAACAAGAGGAUUGGGCUGGACAUAAUCUGAGGUAUUCAAGGAAUCAGACUCAUCAUCUUUCUUCUCUUCACUUGCUCAUUCAUCAUCCUCUUCUUCGUCAUCAUCAUCUUCUUCUACAUCACUGAAACUUCCAAGGAAAGGGUCUGAUAUUUUGAGAAGCUUCAGAAGGCAUUCAUCUGCAUCCUUGAGUAGAGAAACAGAAAAGAAGCCAUAGUUUUGAAAAAAAAAAAGCUCUCAAGAAUGGUUUGUUUGAGUUGUAACCUCACCAUGGAUUUAUACUAGUAACAUUUAAUAAAGUGGAAAGAUCAAGACGCGAAUUCCAAGCAUUUGACUAAUUUUUUCACCAUCCAACUAAUAUUCUUUAUGACCAUUUAAGAACAUCCCUCAAAAGUAUCAAAAUACAUUGAACUGAAAGUAAAUAUUAACGGGACAUUAAACUUAUCUAGUUUUACAAAAGUUUAGUCACCAAGCACACUGUUCAUACCCCCUUACAUGGUGGCUUCAAUCCACACUGAACAAGGUCCAUAGCAAUACGUUUCCUCAUAAGAGCAGACCUUCUCUUGAAAUCAAGUUCCCUACCCCUGACUAUACAAUCAAUGUAACCAAGCAAAAAAACACCACAGCUGUGACCAUCAUCUUGUUCUGGGCAAUUCACAAACUCCCUUUCCCAUACAAAUUCCAAGUCAAAAUCUGGAAUGUUAGGGUCAGCAGCAAAGACCACAUAAGGCAACAUUUUCUCCAACCCUAUCUGUUGUUUUGAUGGUCUCUUCAAGCCCAAAGAGUCAUAUAUUCUCACCUUCUUUUCCUUAAAGCUGAAACUCAAGAGUACCCAGUGGUUAUCAUUGACCUGCAUUAUUAACAAAUAUCAUAGGUUUUAGCAGAUAUUACCUUUGUUGUUAGAGGAUGUGGUUAAAGUACAUUAGAGGGUACAAAGUCAAUAUACUUACUUGUAAAGGAAUAAGUAUAGCCUUUGCAUGGUAAGGGGAAACUUGGUUCUCCAUAUGACCAGUAAGGUCCAUCAUCCUUUUCUUCUAUCUCAGCCCCCCCCUUGGGUGUUUUUUCCUUUCUUUUGAACCUGUAUGUCCUCAUCUUCAUCACUAUCUGGCCUUGGAAUAAAUCUUCUUUUUUUUAGUUUCUUCUUUGGCAUUUUUCCUCUCAGCAAUUCUUGCAUCUUUGGCUUUAAUAUUUUUCCUCCAUGACCUGUCAAGACCUGCUACUUUGCUUUGCCUGAGGAUAUAAGACAAAUAUUAGAUGGUAUAAAGUUAACAAUUAGCUGCUAAUAAUUAGGCAUUUAGAGGAUAUAACUGAAAUUCAUACCUAAGAGGUUGUUUUCUGGUAGGAGGUGGGAUGGUCUUCUGUUUCUUUGGUGGAGGUGGAGGUGGAGUCACUUGUUGCUUCUCCUGUUCUCUAAUUUGACUUGUGCUCCUUGUGACCCUCAUCCCACCUAAAGAGAGUUGUAUAGUUUGAGACCUCUCUGGAGUUGUUGCAAUUGGUGAACUUAACUUCUCACUAACAAUUUUCUUGCCUUUUCUAUCUGCACUAGGACUUGAAAUGGUCUUUGCAAUGGUUUUAGAUGGAGUAGGCUUUCUCUUGGUUGGAGUGGAAAUGCUUUGACUCCUUGUAUUAACACCACUCUUGGAGACUGCUUUGGUGGUGGUGGUAGUUGUUUUGCCCUUCUUCAGAACUGACUUGGGUGCCAAAGUUGUUUUGGUCUUGGGUGUAGCAGUUGUUUUAGGGUUAGCCUUGGGGGCAAGUACAGUUGUUUUAGACUUGGCUACAGCUGCUUCACUCUUCUUAGUUUCAUUUCUCUUACUGGGGGUACUUGGUUCCUUCCUCUUUUUGGUGGGGGUACUUGGUUCCUUCCUCUUUGUGGUGACCCCACUUGGUUCCUUUUUCUUUUUGGUGGAGGUACUUGGUUCUUUCCUCUUUCUGGUGGGGGUAGUGUCCUUCUUCUGUUUCCUUCCUUUAGGAAUGUUUCUCAUCUGGGUUGAAGAUGAAGACCCCCCUUUCAGUGCCUCGGGUUUCAAUAUCUUGCUUACACCAGAAACAACUCCUUCCUCAAUGUCUUUUACCACCCCCUUCAGAAUUCCUUCCAGUGAACCCACACCUAUAUCCUUUUCUUGCUUGUCAAGUUCUUGUUGCCACUACAACACCAUUAUAUACAUGCUAAUAUUAACAAAUAAUAUUUCAGAGUCUAGAGGAUAAUAAUUGUAAUUUAGCCGAUAAGAUAGACAUAAUUUGAGGAUGCACAUAUAUUGUUAUAUGUAAUGUACGAAUUUACUAUCUACAAGAUAGACUAGGCAUAAUGUAUGGGAUAUAAAACCUAAUUAGAGAGUAGUAUACAUACCUUUUCUGCUUCAACAACAAGUGCUUCACCAGAUUCUUGAAGAGUAAGGAAAGGGGGAGCAACUUCGAUUGCUUUUCCGCGAGGAGGGUUAAGCUUCUUAUCAAUGGUUUCUCUACAUGUUGUUUUUCCUGGAAGAUUCUUCCAACCAAGCAUCCUAGGGAAUGGUGGUACAUCAGCUUCCCUUCUAGGACCUAGACAUGGGAUGUGGCUGUAUGCCCAGACAAUAAAUGCAAGCACACACCCAGGUAGAUUGUAACUCAGUUUUUGGGCUGCUUCAUUUGUUGCUGCUGUUUCUAGAGCAUUUUCUAACAGAUUGAACACAACAGUUCCCCAAGGAAAUUCAUCAAAUUUCUGAAGAUUUGAUGCAAGGUCGACAUACCUAAGAUCAAUGGUCAUAUAUGUUACAAGACUAUUACAGUAUACAUAAACCAUGUUAACAUUAUAUAACAUAACAUAUUUACCCUAAACCUUGUGCAUAUACUAAAUUUAGAGGAUACAUGAUUAAAGUUUAGAGGAUAACAUGCUGAUGUGUAGCCGAUAACAGGACACAAAUAGGAAGCCUAAAUAUUACUAUUUAGCAUAUAAGAAUAAAGACCACAAUGUUGCCAGAUAACAUUGUGUGAAUUUUAGAAGAUAACAUGAACAUAUUUAGCAGAUAAUAUAACCAUAUUUGAAGAUAAAUGUGUGAAUUUUGGACAUACCUGACAUCAAUGGUAUUAGAUGCAUCUGGUAGUAGGCAUGUUAACAGACGCAACAAACGAUUCAAACGAUGCACAUCAUCACCAGAAUUAUGAUCAUUUCGUGCUACUUCAAUUGCAUCUUUCAUGUUCUUUUCCUUAAUGCUUUUCCUCUUACCAAAAUAUUUCUCCCUAAAUGGACUUGGAACUUCUGAUUCCAUGAAAAUGAACUCAUGUGGUACACGAACAAUUUUCAAUCCUAAAUUUAAAGUCACAUCAAAUGGUUUGAACUGCAUUUCCUUUCCCCCAAUCUUGUACUUCAAUUUACCAACUCUAGCUUUCACAAUUUGUGUAACAACAGAUGUAAUCAUGUGCAAUUUAUCUGUUUGAACAUCUAAGAAAUACCUAAAGCAUGAAGAACUAAAAUUUUCCUUCUCCAACAGAGGUAAUUUACUCCCAAAAUGAUCACCUACCUUCUUCAUUGAGCAUCUUACCGUUACACUGAAAUUACGGCCAUAUUUCUUUUUCAUCUGUUCUACUCCACUUGAUUCUGGAAUUUCAUCAUGUUGCUCUUGAAUUUUGUCUACUUCUUCUUCCAUUUGUUGUUGUUCCUCUUCAAUUUGUUGUUCUCCUCCUUCAAUUUGUUGUUCUCCCACCUCAAUUUGUUGUUCUCCCACUUCGAUUUGUUGUUCUCCCACUUCAGUUUGCUGUUCUUCGCCUGCAAUUUGUUGUUCUUCUUCUACAUGUUUCUCUUCUUCUUCUUCUUCGUCUUUCUUUCCAAAUUCUGCUUCUUUCUCUUCAGCUUCUUCUACUUGCUCUUCAAUUUUUUCUUCAAUUGCUCCUUCUAACUUCUCAUUAACAGACAUCUCGUUGUGUUGUGAAAUUGAUACUGUUUCUAGGAUUUUGGAGGUAGUGGAUUCAACAACCAUUUUUUGUCAAAAUUAAGAGUUCUAGAACUACAAGGAAAUAAUUGAAAGGGUAUAAUUUCAACAAGAAAUGGUAACUGUGUUAAUGGAGGCGGUUGAAAGAAGAAAAAUGGUUUUUGGUAAGUUAGGGUUUUUGUUUGGAAGUGAUUAUCUUCUCAAAAAUUUCCCGCCAAAAUUACCCUCCAAACAGCCCUAAACACGUGUCAUCUUUUCGUUGUAUGCACAAAUCCAUGUUUAAUCUCAGCCGUACACGUCAUUUAGUUGGAAACAACUGUUAAGGGUAGUUUUGUAAAUACAUCUGAAUAAUAAACGGUUGUGAUUUAAUCUCUCAUUUCUAGCAAAAUCAAUGGUUAUAAUUUUUAUAUAGGUUAUUGUGAAGGGGUCACAUCAGUUUGUACUUGGUCAAAUCAAAGCAAAAAGUUUUGUCAUAAGUACAAAGGGUAGUUUAGGUAAGAAAAAAAAAAAAAAAAAAAAAACUGAAUGAAUAGUGGCUUUCGCAUUUGUCUAGUUGAAGGACUAGAAGAAAAACAAUAGUGUGUGUUUUUGGGCUAGUUGCAAGUGACCUUCAAUAUUCCCUAUGAUCAUGUCUUUAGUUUGUUUUUUGGAGGUUGGUAUUGGUCUAUCAGGUUCUUCUACAUACUUGCAUCAUUCUAGUAACUACCAUGUCAUGGUGUAUGAUGUCGUUCUUCGAUUUUGCAUUCUCUUGUGGUUGAGGUUUGUUUAAACUAUAUUCGGUUGUAAUUGGAAUUCGUAUGAUACGUAGAAGUGUUUUCUUGUGAUGUCUCUCAAUAUUUUUUUUGGAGUUAUGUGGUUUAUUUUAAAAAAAAAAAAAAAAAAAAAAAAAAAAAAAUGUGGUCGUACGAACGCUGUGAUGACGUUCGAACGUUGAGGUGGGCAGAUCUUUUUCCAACGUACGAACGUUUUCAGAACGUACGAACGUAGGGUCUGACAGAUGUUUUUUUUUUGGUCCCGACGUACGAACGUUAUUAGAACGUACGAACGUCCCUGAAACAGUCCGGCCCAUUUGCUGUUUAAAAACCAAAUUUUUUAAACACAAAGCCUACUGUUAUAUAAAUCGUGUUUCCCUCCUUGUUACACUACAAGCUGUUAGUUUUUGGUCGUUUCUCCUCAUUGUCUUAGGUGAUUCUCUUCUCUCUCAACUUGUUUGCAAUUUGUUCAUCUUCUCUUCUCCUUGUUUUGGUCCGGUGUGUUGGUCGGGAGAUUUGUUCGUCAUUCUCACUCACAAUCACUUGUAAGUUUUCUUUUGUUCCUUCUUCUCUUCUCUAUUGUCAUGUUCUUGUUGAUAUUUUGGGUUUGCUUUAUCAUAUAUUGUUAGUUAAGGUUGUAUGCUUGUUUGUUGUCUUCAUGGGACUUGGUGUUUCUAUACUCGCUCUUGCCGCCAUUUUAGUUGGUAAUGACCUUGGGAAGUGGUUUGUUCUUGGUCUCUAUUGUGUCUUUCUGUUUUGCUAUGUGUUUGGGUGCUUGCGAUUCUUUCAUUGUUGUCGAUAGCACAUGCUUAGGUUUCUGCACACCAAGUGUUUGAUGAAAUGCCUCUAUGGGCUUGAAUUUGGUUAUUUUGUCCAUUUUCUUACAUUUUUGGUUUGUGUACUGGUGUGUUUGUGUAGGAAAUGUCUUCAAAGCGUGCACGCACCUCCACGGCAUCCGCAUCUAAGGGUGCAUCUUCUUCUCGCGCUCCGAGGAGUCGUGGUUCCACUCCGGGUGUGUCUCAUCCAUCAUCCCUUGGCGCUCAUCCUCGAGCCAAGGCCAUUGUUCCCGAGCGUUUCUUCGACUUGGGAGACAUUGCUGCCACCCCUCUAGGGGCAUCUCAACUUGGAAAUAUCGCAUUGUUCUUUGAGACUCGGAAUUGGCUAAGGGUGGCUCAACCAAUCACCAAGUACUCGGUUGAGCAUACGAUAACUUUCUAUGAGACAAAGACACCCUCGCAAAAUCGAUCGAGUUUUUCGGUUUUGAUUGAAGGUCGGCGAUACACCAUUUCUCCUAAGGUGAUACGCGAGGCGUUGGGUAUUGAUGGUGACUUUGUUCCUGAGGAUGCUGUCUCUGUUAGAUGGCCCGUUCCGGAGUCAAUUCAAAUUGACUUUGUCAAUCAAGUUCAGCAGAUGUUUAUUGAUGGUGUCACGGAAAGGUAUCAUGCCAAGCACUACAGCGCCAUCCUCCUGCACAUGGUUGCUCACUCCAACAUCUACCCCACCAAGGGCAACAAGAUAAUUAUGACCGACGACAUGGUCAAAUUGGUGGUUUGUAUGUCGGUGCACCAUAUUCAUCUCUCUGAGGUCAUCUACAAUCGGAUGCUUCAAAUUGAUGCAGCUAAGGGUACUCUUCCUUUCCCUAGCUUUAUUAUGACGAUUCUCAGGCACUUGGGUUUUCAGGGACAGUAUUUGGGGGUGAGCCCUCCAAAGUUUGUUGGCCACGACUGGGUUAACGCUAUUAAAAAGGGCUGUCAGUCUCGAAAGUUGGCUUUCGAGUCCGUGGGUGCGCGUCUGACGCACCACCUCAUUUGGGGAGGCAGGGCACUUGUGCGUAAUGAUGAUUUCGAUCGGGCCUUGACCACUGGACGCCCCAUCCCUGCUUCUGCUAGGGGAAAUCGGGCUGUUGCAGCCAUUGAUGCUCGGGUUUCCUCUCUCCGCCGUCAUCAGGACCAUAUGGAUGCUCGGUUGGAUCGUUUCGGGGCCAUUCUCUCUCGUCAUGAUGUCAUGAUCAGUGAUAUUCAUGCGAUGAAUGUUGCUCAGAUGCAGCAUCUGCAGCUGGACUUCACUCCCACAGACUUGCCUCCGUUUCCGGAAGAGGUGCCUCCAGUUCAAGGUGCGAGUGAUGGUGAUAACUCAGAGAGUGAGGACGAGGGUGAUGGUGAACCGAGUGAUGGUGACUCGGACUCCGAGUAGUGGUUUUUUUCUGGUUUACUCUCCACAUUUUUGUACUUAAAUUUUUUUUGCUAUAUCGGUUUGUUUCUAUUUUUUUUUAGUAUUGUACAUGUUCUUGGAUAUUGCUAUUUUCAUAUUAGUUCAAGUUGGUUUCCUUGUUUUGCAGUAAAUUUUUCUGAGGUAAUGGACCUUUCUUUUUGGGUCCAUGAUAUGUUUACUCCUAUUCUUCUUAUAAAUAGGGAGUCUUUUCUCUUUCACUCAUAUUGUGUCUUCUUACCUCUUGCUAAUUCUCUCUUUGUUCUUCAGAAUUUUCUAUGGCAGAAUAUGAACUUCAUGGAAUUUUUGUUCCGAAUGUUGGUUAUGUGUCGUUCAUGGUAAUGGAGUACAAGAACAAUGCUAAGGUUUGUCGUUUGUGUCGCGUUCCCCAUGGAUAUGACUAUAUUCAUCGUCCUUUCCUUAAUCCUUGUUUGGUUCGUGUCAAUCAUUGGGAGAGAUUACCGGGACAUCUUCAAAAUCACAUCUUGGAGUUGGUUGGUUAUCCGAAGGUUCCAGGACUUGCUGCUCCACUUACCGACUGUGGCUUGGACAGCAGAAUUGAGGAGUUGUUUUGUACGAGUGAAUGGUUGGAGGAUUAUGAUGAUCAUGUGAUUGCUCGGUGGAAUCGACCUUCGGCUCGUGCGGAAGCUUACUUCUCCAAGCUUCCUCUAGGUCAUUGGGAAAGGGUCUUUCGAAUUCGUUAAUUCGAGCUUUCUAUUUUUGUCGUUUUGGUUUUUCUGUUUAUGGAUAUCUCUGUUUGGUUAUUAGUUGAUUUUCUGAACUUUUAAUAGUUGGGUUCGGUUUAUAUUUUUAUUUGUUCUGUAUUCUUUGUUUGGUAUUGAUUUCUUCUUCUUGAUUAUUGGUUUAUUGUUAUUCUUUUCCUUUGAUUGGUUGGUUAUUUUGUUCACUUGUUGUGACAAAAAGGGGGAGAUUUAUGACUCUAAUUACUAACAAUCGUCUUCUUGUUGUUAGGUUAUUUUUGGGUCAUGUUUCAGGUAUGCUACACGUAUGGGGGAGUUGCUCAUGAAGUUUGGAGCUCAUGAAGUAUGGGGGAGUUGCUCGAAGGAACUUCUGUUGAAUCUUUGAUUGCUUCCGUUCGAUCUCUGAUGGUUAAAGCAUCUUCCUAAAGCUGGAUAACAAGAAUUGGUGACUUGUUAUGUGUUUCUAUUUUGAGUGUUUUUGUAGGCAUGUUUGAUAAAUGCCAUGGUUUGGGAUUGUAAGCACGUUUUUUAAGUGCUAUUAGAGUCAUAGGUUUUUGUCACAAAAUCAAUGUCAAAGGGGGAGAUUGAAACCGGCACGAAGUGGUUUGACAUCAAUUUUGUGACAAAGUGUCUUUGGUUAUCUCGCCUUGAAUUCAUUGUUAGGAAAACCAAGAUGUACGCAUGGUCGUCUCGUGUCCUUGUGUCUCUUAGGUCUGUCUAGGGAAAGUUAUUGGGUUCUGGACGUACGUACCGAGUUAGGACGUACGUACGUUCACUGAAGCAGCGAACUUCUUUUGGUCAGGACGUACGUACUUGUUUAGGACGUUCGUACGUCCUGGUAGUCAGCAGACAUGUUUUUGUAUGGAGACGUACGUACCUGUUUAGAGCGUUCGUACGUCAUGUUAGGCAGCAGGCUUAUUUUUGUGUGGCGACGUUCGAACGUCAUAUCGACGUACGAACGUCCAAAGUCGGUUUGCUUUGUUUCGGCCCAUUUUUCUAGGUUUUCAACCCUAAGUAUAAAUAGGGUUUCUCUUCUACAGAACAAGACAGUUCUUUGGCCGUCCAUCCUUCUUCUUGUUCAUGUGUUUUGGUUAGGUUUUUGGUAUUAAACUUGUUUGUGGCUAUUGAACUCAAUUCCCUUUCUUCCCCCUUUUCCCAAUUCAUAUCUUUGUGAUCUUCAAGAGUUAUUGUGAAUUCGGCUUCGAGUCUUCUUGUGUGUUCAUCAAGAAGUCGAGUGUCUUGUGCGUACAUCAAGGUGCUCUGGUGAAGUCAAGGUGUUAGAGAUAACCAGGAGUAUCAACUCGCAGUGAGUGCAGGUAGUUGAUAGGUUUGUACAUCUCUUUUCAUCUAGUGGAUUAUUUUGUUGUCGCGAGGACAACCGUGGACGUUUCCCAGUUUGGGUUUUACCACGUUAAAAACUUCUGUGUGUUAUUUACUUUCCGCGUAUUGUUUGUUUGCUUGUUUGAAUUCACAUUUGUUACACUAGCACUAUUUGUAGUUUCUCAAUUGGUAUCAGUCGCUGGGGGCUGGUUAAGGAGCGUAAAGGCUCACGCUAACGAUCAAUAGUGCUUUAUGGAUUCUCACAAGUCUGCUACUUCAAGUCUUCCUCCACAAUUCAGUGGAAAGGACUUUGGUCAUUGGAAAGUACGUAUGCGAGCUUAUCUCCAAGCAUUAGGAGAAGAAGUCUGGCUUUCUGUUGUCACAGGGUGGAAAGAACCUCUGACUACUACAGGUACUGAUGAUACUGCUGUUACAUCACUGACGCCACGUGAAAAGUGGACGCCUGAACAGAAGUUGUUGGCAAAUUAUAACAACAAGGCACUCAAUGCUAUUUUCAUGGCAUUAAAUGCUAGUGAGUUUCGUAGGGUGCAGGGCUGUGAAGAGGCUAAAGAUGCAUGGAACAGGCUUAUCUGUACACAUGAAGGUGACGAAACAGUCAAAGAAAGUAAGCUGGAACUGUUAACAUCUCAGUUUGAGAAUCUCCGGAUGGAUAAUUCUGAGACUUUUGAUGAUUUCUUUAUUCGUCUCCAAGACAUCAUCAACUGCAGUGCGGCUAUUGGUCAUGCAUAUACUGACACACAGGUGGUCCGUAAGAUAUUGCGUGCUUUGCCUCCUCGGUUUCGUUCACGAAAGGAUGCCAUCACUGAAAGUAAUGUGAUUAAGAACAUGUCCAUCGAGACACUUGCUGGCAAACUAAGGACAUGUGAGAUGGAACAGGCUUUGGAAGAACCUUUGAAGAACAAAUCUGUAGCAUUCAAAGCUACAUCGUCUAAAGAACCUUCCACAGGACCUUCUGAUGAUGAAGAACAGGAUGUGGAUGAUAACUAUGCGUUCCUGUCACGUAGCUUUCAGAAGAUUCUGAAAUAUCAACAGAAUCGAGAUCCUCGAAAGCGAUUUCCUGAUUCCUCAAAUGCUCCUAGAAGUCGUGGUUUUGAGCGGUUCUCUGUUGAUGGGAGAAGAGCUCGAGUUGAUCGUAAAGAUGUCCAAUGUUACAAGUGUCGUGAUUAUGGACACUUUGCAAAUGAAUGUGAUAAGAAGGUCGACCGCAAACCUGGUGAUAAUUCCAAAGCGAAUCUCACAGUAACAUGGGAUGAUUCAGAUGAAGAUGAUGAUGGGAAUCUCUCAAAUGUUGUCUCAAAUUAUGUGGUCUUCAGUGCAUCCCUGGAUGAACAUCCAGGAGGUAUUGUAUCCUCUUCUGCUGAUAUUAAUGUUUCUGAUUCUGGUGUUCAUGCUACUACUAGUGAAUUAUGUGACAUGUAUAAGUUUUCUAUGCAACAAGUAAAGUUGCUUGAAAAAACUAACAAUGUCUUGCAGGAUCAGGUAGAGAGUCUUGGACAGGAUAUAUGUAAUCUGACAGGUGAUUCCAACAUGUUGAAGGAAGAAUUUGUGAAGGAAAAGGAGGAUUUCCAAGUGCGUAUUGUCACUCUGGAAAAACUGAAUAAUGAUCUGGAAACACGGUAUCGAGCCCUUGUACUGGAGCAUGAGCGAGUAAAGGCUGAGUUGUUUGCUGCUAACAAACAAUUGGUAGGGUUUGGUAAAGCAAGUGCUAAUCUAAACUCUCUGUUGGGAAUCGGUAAAUCCCAUUCAGAUAAAACUGGUUUAGGAUAUGACACCUCUGUUCCCCUUGCUACUGCUAGCACUUCCCGCACUACCUUUGUGCGACCAACAAGUGUCGCUAUUCCUGCUCCUGUGCAGGUGUCUAGUGUGGUAUCACCACCCAAGGUGUCUCAUGUGAAGCAAGUUCGGAAAAAGAACUCUAGACACAAAGGCUUUAAAUGUCUAACAUGUGGUCGCAUGGGUCACACUUCUGCCUUUUGUUGGAAUAAUUUGUAUCCUGCUCAUCAUCCUUCUUUUGCAGGUAACUCAUAUUGGAACAAGUCUUCCACCUUCUCCAUGCAGGCUCCAUACAUGUGGAAUGGCUAUGCUCCGUGGGGUUUACCCAGAACUUCUCCCUAUGGAAACCGUCCUCAAGCAACACCCAUGCCUACUCCACCACCACAUUUCUGGGAUAGGAGUAUGGAUGCAUCCAGGAAAAUGGUGUCUCACAUGGCUCGUUUGGUUGAACCAUUGCCUUCAUCAUGGUAUCUUGACAGCGGUUGUUCGCGUCAUAUGACAGGUGAUAAGACUCUGAUUGAUAACCUGGCUCUUGGUUAUGGAGGUAAGGUUAGGUUUGGUAAUGGUAAAUUGCUUCCGGUUGAAGGUAAAGGUAACUUUUCUGAGGUUGAAUCGCUCAAUAGUCAUGAGCUUCUUUUUGUUAAGGGUCUUAGGUCUAAUCUAUUGAGUAUUAGUCAGUUAUGCGAUGCUAAAUUUAAGGUUGUGUUUGAGGAUAAUAGGUGUGAUGUUUUUGAUUCCAAUAAUAUCUUGGUGUUAUCUGGUAGUCGCUCAUCUGAUAACUGCUUCAUUGUUACUACACCUCUUCUGCAUUCCUAUGUCUAAUGUGUUCAUUGGAACUGUCUGUGUUUAGGAUGUUUUAGGGUUGGUCAUUUAUUGUUGUUAUUGGUAUUGAGGACAUACUACAUUCUCUAUUGUGUGGAUUUCAUUUUACAAAUGUUUCUAGUUUGGCGUUCUCAACUGUCUUUGGUCAUGCAUAGGUGUAGGGUUACAUUAUACUCUCUUCGUAUUGGUAGUUUCUUGCAUGAUGCAUUUCAAUGUGGUCGGCUUGACUUUUUCAAUACAUGUUUAACUCCAGUCUCCCAUGGUUAAUUUUUCAUGAUCGUUGUUCUUUGUUUUCUUUAUUCUCUCACCUCUUGUAAGUGGUCAAUGACUCACAAAAUCCCCAGCCAUUUGAAUGUCUUGAGAGCAUACUCAUUUGGCUAAGAACCCGUUGGGGCUGUGAGGGUCAUGCUCUGACGGUUGCACUCAAGAGAUGUUAGUUCUUGUGUUGCACGUUAUCAUGGUAUUGCACUUCUUGAGUGUGUUUUGCCGAAAAGAUGUAGGCUACACCCUACCCUCGUGUUCUGGUAAAAGAUGGAGAUAUUUCAUACUCCCACACGGGAAUGGCAUCUGUUUCAAUGGUUUACAAAAAAAAAAAAAAAAAAAAAAACUGAAUGAAUAGUGGCUUUCGCAUUUGUCUAGUUGAAGGACUAGAAGAAAAACAAUAGUGUGUGUUUUUGGGCUAGUUGCAAGUGACCUUCAAUAUUCCCUAUGAUCAUGUCUUUAGUUUGUUUUUUGGAGGUUGGUAUUGGUCUAUCAGGUUCUUCUACAUACUUGCAUCAUUCUAGUAACUACCAUGUCAUGGUGUAUGAUGUCGUUCUUCGAUUUUGCAUUCUCUUGUGGUUGAGGUUUGUUUAAACUAUAUUCGGUUGUAAUUGGAAUUCGUAUGAUACGUAGAAGUGUUUUCUUGUGAUGUCUCUCAAUAUUUUUUUUGGAGUUAUGUGGUUUAUUUUAAAAAAAAAAAAAAAAAAAAAAAAAAAAAAAAAUGUGGUCGUACGAACGCUGUGAUGACGUUCGAACGUUGAGGUGGGCAGAUCUUUUUCCAACGUACGAACGUUUUCAGAACGUACGAACGUAGGGUCUGACAGAUGUUUUUUUUUUGGUCCCGACGUACGAACGUUAUUAGAACGUACGAACGUCCCUGAAACAGUCCGGCCCAUUUGCUGUUUAAAAACCAAAUUUUUUAAACACAAAGCCUACUGUUAUAUAAAUCGUGUUUCCCUCCUUGUUACACUACAAGCUGUUAGUUUUUGGUCGUUUCUCCUCAUUGUCUUAGGUGAUUCUCUUCUCUCUCAACUUGUUUGCAAUUUGUUCAUCUUCUCUUCUCCUUGUUUUGGUCCGGUGUGUUGGUCGGGAGAUUUGUUCGUCAUUCUCACUCACAAUCACUUGUAAGUUUUCUUUUGUUCCUUCUUCUCUUCUCUAUUGUCAUGUUCUUGUUGAUAUUUUGGGUUUGCUUUAUCAUAUAUUGUUAGUUAAGGUUGUAUGCUUGUUUGUUGUCUUCAUGGGACUUGGUGUUUCUAUACUCGCUCUUGCCGCCAUUUUAGUUGGUAAUGACCUUGGGAAGUGGUUUGUUCUUGGUCUCUAUUGUGUCUUUCUGUUUUGCUAUGUGUUUGGGUGCUUGCGAUUCUUUCAUUGUUGUCGAUAGCACAUGCUUAGGUUUCUGCACACCAAGUGUUUGAUGAAAUGCCUCUAUGGGCUUGAAUUUGGUUAUUUUGUCCAUUUUCUUACAUUUUUGGUUUGUGUACUGGUGUGUUUGUGUAGGAAAUGUCUUCAAAGCGUGCACGCACCUCCACGGCAUCCGCAUCUAAGGGUGCAUCUUCUUCUCGCGCUCCGAGGAGUCGUGGUUCCACUCCGGGUGUGUCUCAUCCAUCAUCCCUUGGCGCUCAUCCUCGAGCCAAGGCCAUUGUUCCCGAGCGUUUCUUCGACUUGGGAGACAUUGCUGCCACCCCUCUAGGGGCAUCUCAACUUGGAAAUAUCGCAUUGUUCUUUGAGACUCGGAAUUGGCUAAGGGUGGCUCAACCAAUCACCAAGUACUCGGUUGAGCAUACGAUAACUUUCUAUGAGACAAAGACACCCUCGCAAAAUCGAUCGAGUUUUUCGGUUUUGAUUGAAGGUCGGCGAUACACCAUUUCUCCUAAGGUGAUACGCGAGGCGUUGGGUAUUGAUGGUGACUUUGUUCCUGAGGAUGCUGUCUCUGUUAGAUGGCCCGUUCCGGAGUCAAUUCAAAUUGACUUUGUCAAUCAAGUUCAGCAGAUGUUUAUUGAUGGUGUCACGGAAAGGUAUCAUGCCAAGCACUACAGCGCCAUCCUCCUGCACAUGGUUGCUCACUCCAACAUCUACCCCACCAAGGGCAACAAGAUAAUUAUGACCGACGACAUGGUCAAAUUGGUGGUUUGUAUGUCGGUGCACCAUAUUCAUCUCUCUGAGGUCAUCUACAAUCGGAUGCUUCAAAUUGAUGCAGCUAAGGGUACUCUUCCUUUCCCUAGCUUUAUUAUGACGAUUCUCAGGCACUUGGGUUUUCAGGGACAGUAUUUGGGGGUGAGCCCUCCAAAGUUUGUUGGCCACGACUGGGUUAACGCUAUUAAAAAGGGCUGUCAGUCUCGAAAGUUGGCUUUCGAGUCCGUGGGUGCGCGUCUGACGCACCACCUCAUUUGGGGAGGCAGGGCACUUGUGCGUAAUGAUGAUUUCGAUCGGGCCUUGACCACUGGACGCCCCAUCCCUGCUUCUGCUAGGGGAAAUCGGGCUGUUGCAGCCAUUGAUGCUCGGGUUUCCUCUCUCCGCCGUCAUCAGGACCAUAUGGAUGCUCGGUUGGAUCGUUUCGGGGCCAUUCUCUCUCGUCAUGAUGUCAUGAUCAGUGAUAUUCAUGCGAUGAAUGUUGCUCAGAUGCAGCAUCUGCAGCUGGACUUCACUCCCACAGACUUGCCUCCGUUUCCGGAAGAGGUGCCUCCAGUUCAAGGUGCGAGUGAUGGUGAUAACUCAGAGAGUGAGGACGAGGGUGAUGGUGAACCGAGUGAUGGUGACUCGGACUCCGAGUAGUGGUUUUUUUCUGGUUUACUCUCCACAUUUUUGUACUUAAAUUUUUUUUGCUAUAUCGGUUUGUUUCUAUUUUUUUUUAGUAUUGUACAUGUUCUUGGAUAUUGCUAUUUUCAUAUUAGUUCAAGUUGGUUUCCUUGUUUUGCAGUAAAUUUUUCUGAGGUAAUGGACCUUUCUUUUUGGGUCCAUGAUAUGUUUACUCCUAUUCUUCUUAUAAAUAGGGAGUCUUUUCUCUUUCACUCAUAUUGUGUCUUCUUACCUCUUGCUAAUUCUCUCUUUGUUCUUCAGAAUUUUCUAUGGCAGAAUAUGAACUUCAUGGAAUUUUUGUUCCGAAUGUUGGUUAUGUGUCGUUCAUGGUAAUGGAGUACAAGAACAAUGCUAAGGUUUGUCGUUUGUGUCGCGUUCCCCAUGGAUAUGACUAUAUUCAUCGUCCUUUCCUUAAUCCUUGUUUGGUUCGUGUCAAUCAUUGGGAGAGAUUACCGGGACAUCUUCAAAAUCACAUCUUGGAGUUGGUUGGUUAUCCGAAGGUUCCAGGACUUGCUGCUCCACUUACCGACUGUGGCUUGGACAGCAGAAUUGAGGAGUUGUUUUGUACGAGUGAAUGGUUGGAGGAUUAUGAUGAUCAUGUGAUUGCUCGGUGGAAUCGACCUUCGGCUCGUGCGGAAGCUUACUUCUCCAAGCUUCCUCUAGGUCAUUGGGAAAGGGUCUUUCGAAUUCGUUAAUUCGAGCUUUCUAUUUUUGUCGUUUUGGUUUUUCUGUUUAUGGAUAUCUCUGUUUGGUUAUUAGUUGAUUUUCUGAACUUUUAAUAGUUGGGUUCGGUUUAUAUUUUUAUUUGUUCUGUAUUCUUUGUUUGGUAUUGAUUUCUUCUUCUUGAUUAUUGGUUUAUUGUUAUUCUUUUCCUUUGAUUGGUUGGUUAUUUUGUUCACUUGUUGUGACAAAAAGGGGGAGAUUUAUGACUCUAAUUACUAACAAUCGUCUUCUUGUUGUUAGGUUAUUUUUGGGUCAUGUUUCAGGUAUGCUACACGUAUGGGGGAGUUGCUCAUGAAGUUUGGAGCUCAUGAAGUAUGGGGGAGUUGCUCGAAGGAACUUCUGUUGAAUCUUUGAUUGCUUCCGUUCGAUCUCUGAUGGUUAAAGCAUCUUCCUAAAGCUGGAUAACAAGAAUUGGUGACUUGUUAUGUGUUUCUAUUUUGAGUGUUUUUGUAGGCAUGUUUGAUAAAUGCCAUGGUUUGGGAUUGUAAGCACGUUUUUUAAGUGCUAUUAGAGUCAUAGGUUUUUGUCACAAAAUCAAUGUCAAAGGGGGAGAUUGAAACCGGCACGAAGUGGUUUGACAUCAAUUUUGUGACAAAGUGUCUUUGGUUAUCUCGCCUUGAAUUCAUUGUUAGGAAAACCAAGAUGUACGCAUGGUCGUCUCGUGUCCUUGUGUCUCUUAGGUCUGUCUAGGGAAAGUUAUUGGGUUCUGGACGUACGUACCGAGUUAGGACGUACGUACGUUCACUGAAGCAGCGAACUUCUUUUGGUCAGGACGUACGUACUUGUUUAGGACGUUCGUACGUCCUGGUAGUCAGCAGACAUGUUUUUGUAUGGAGACGUACGUACCUGUUUAGAGCGUUCGUACGUCAUGUUAGGCAGCAGGCUUAUUUUUGUGUGGCGACGUUCGAACGUCAUAUCGACGUACGAACGUCCAAAGUCGGUUUGCUUUGUUUCGGCCCAUUUUUCUAGGUUUUCAACCCUAAGUAUAAAUAGGGUUUCUCUUCUACAGAACAAGACAGUUCUUUGGCCGUCCAUCCUUCUUCUUGUUCAUGUGUUUUGGUUAGGUUUUUGGUAUUAAACUUGUUUGUGGCUAUUGAACUCAAUUCCCUUUCUUCCCCCUUUUCCCAAUUCAUAUCUUUGUGAUCUUCAAGAGUUAUUGUGAAUUCGGCUUCGAGUCUUCUUGUGUGUUCAUCAAGAAGUCGAGUGUCUUGUGCGUACAUCAAGGUGCUCUGGUGAAGUCAAGGUGUUAGAGAUAACCAGGAGUAUCAACUCGCAGUGAGUGCAGGUAGUUGAUAGGUUUGUACAUCUCUUUUCAUCUAGUGGAUUAUUUUGUUGUCGCGAGGACAACCGUGGACGUUUCCCAGUUUGGGUUUUACCACGUUAAAAACUUCUGUGUGUUAUUUACUUUCCGCGUAUUGUUUGUUUGCUUGUUUGAAUUCACAUUUGUUACACUAGCACUAUUUGUAGUUUCUCACAAUAUCCUCUAAAUUGUUGUUUGUUGUUAUGUAAAUUACAAAGGCAUGAUAUCCAUUCUAUAUUAUUAAUAUAUGUGAAUUAUAGUCUGUAAUUUGAUACAUGAGUUCGAUGUCUCAACUGAGGACAAAAUCCUUAUAGUACAGAAAAAAAAAAGAAAAAAAAUUUGUAUUGCUAUGAAAAGUUCGUAAAAAUGUUUAAUGUAUAGUUAACUUCACAAAAAACUUCAUAAAAUAAUAUAACCCAGUCUAUAUAUUGUUUUUAGGUUACAUCUCAAACCAUAAGAAAAAAGAAAAAGAACAUAAUCUAGACUAAACAUAAAUUCCUCCUUUUGCAUGGUGUAAUGUCAAUAAGCUCGUUAAAUUUGUACUCCAUUCUCCCUUCCUAUCCCUCACACCAAAACAAUAUAAUAGCUCAAAUCUCUAAUCAUUAUUUUAUUUUAUAUUUUGGCAAACGGGGUUGAGGGCACCCCUUACCCCUUUAAAUUACAUGAGGAAACUUAUAUCAAACAAUCAGUUUACUAGCAUGUUUUGAACCAACGAUCUCUCCACUUUGUGAGAUGGAUGCAACCAUUGAGCCACAGACUCGAGUGCUCUCUAACCAUCAUUGAAACUAAUAGUCUCUCUUUAUUUAAACACUCAUGUCUUCUUGUUUUCAACAAAAUCCAAGUAAUACAUAUAAAACCAUGACCAAUAUACUUUGAUAACUAGCUUUAAUCCACCUUUCAAAACUUUUCAAUAUAUAAUAUAAUUUAAUAAAGAUACUUUAGCAUUAAUGGGUGACAUUAGCUUUAGGGAUCUGUUGACCAGGUGGGCAUAUGCUCUACAGGAACAGUGGUAACUCAGCUGUAUUGGACAUUUGAGGAUGUUUGUGCCCCCCUGUUUCUUUCUUUUCUCUUCUCUGUCUUUGAGUGGCCUGUUAUGCUCAGGAGCUAGGUGUAGAGAGUUGUUUUGGUUUUUUACCUGACGGUGUACAGUCUUUGUACAUGCUGAUCAGGCGAUGUAUAUCCUACCUUUGGAUGUGAAUAUAAUGUUGUUUGAUUCAAAAAGAGAAGAAGAGACAUACUUUUUAUUAAAAAAAAUAUUAUAAUUUAAUAAAUUUGCAUGUUAAAUUGAUACAAUAGCUUGUUUAGAGGAUAAAGGUAUAUUGUUUAGAGAACAACAAUCAAUGUUUUAGCGGAUAAGACCCUUACAGUAUAUAGAGAGAAAAUUAUCGAAAAAAUAAAAAACACAUUUUUUUUUUCAUACCCAUGUGGGAUCUUGUUAGAUAGAUCUCGUCGAGAUCUUUCCAACCAUAUACAUCAUAUUGAUUUUUACUUUCUUAAUUAAAAGAUAUACAAGUUAUAAAUAAUAUAACAAAAAAUAUUAAUUAAUAUUAAAAAAUUUGUUUUUGUCUUUUCUUAUUUGUCUUAUUCUGUUUUUUUUUCUUUUGUUUUUAGUAUGAUGGGUACAAUGGUCUCACAAAAUUGCUAAAAGGUAAUGUGGUGGGUCAGGGGGCUUGUUUGAGAAAAUAGCCCCAUGUCAGGGCCUAUUGGGGAAGAGGCAACUAAACAUGGGGCUUUUUUGGGAUAUUACCCAAAAAUAUAAGUUCAGCAACAAUAAAACUAAAAAAAGGGAAUAAAUCAAUACAUCAUAACAAAAGCAUUGCAAUAUGAACAUCUCAUUUACCUUCUCUUACCCCCCCCCCUCCUUUUAUGUGAAUUCUAGAUGACAGGAGCUACUCUCUCUCUCCCAGACCCAACAUCCUGAAAUCUCAUUAAGUUUUUCUUUAAGUCGCUGCUCUUUUCAAUUGUAAAUGAGUUAAGGUUAAUAAGACUAUUAAAACCCUCUUCACAUUCUGCAAAAUUGGAGAUCCUCUUUCAAGAAUUUCAAAAGCUUUGACACAAGCCUCUAAUUUACUUUCGACAAACUCAAACCCAAUCAUUUUAGACACCAACAUAUUCUAACAAUCAUAACAUAAGCACUAUAUUAUCAACGGUUUCAAUUUUGUACCUCUUUUGUGUGGUGAAGACACUUCAAAAAGGAGAGCACAGUCCUUUUGUCUCCCUGCAACGUGACAUACAAUCGAAAUCGAUAAAAUUAAUCCAGAAAUAGUAACACCUUCCCUUGUUCUCUUUUAUUCUCAUCCUGAUGCCAUCCUCUCUCUCUCUCUCUCUCUCUCUCUCUCUCUCUCUUAUCUGACACAGCAAGGUUUCCAACUGGUGGUAGUCUGUGCCCACUAUCCUCUCGCUCUCAGACCCUACAUUAGAGGAAGGGGAGGUGUACAUGAACAGAUAAUAGAAAUAAAUUAGCUACAGUUAGCACUCUGUUGAAUGACUGUAAUUAUCUUAUUAAGUCUUUUCUGCUUGAGCAAAAUACAAUAUGUUUCUUACAGACUAAUGAAGCAAAAUACAAUAUCAAGUUUCAUGGCGACCAGAUCAAAAUGGGAAUUUCUCAGUUAAAGCUGCACAUGAACUCGUGAAGAGAUAAGGAAGAAGAGCCCACUCGCAACUUGGCACAGAUUUAAAUGGCAAACACAUGUCCAUCCACAGUUGGCUGGGACAGCUGAAAAUUAUAUGUCUUAAAACUAAAAAGAUACAAACUGCUUCUAGGUGUUAUCUACAUUGCAGAAGAAAACUUACAAUACCUACUUUGGGAGUGCAUGUCUGCUACAAAUCUAUGGCGUAGCCUCUCACAUUAACUUUGGUCUUUUAUAUAUUUUAAGCAAUUUUGCACAGGGAAUAUUGCAUUAGCAUUACAAUUCAGGUUUGGGGACUUGUGUGAUUAGUGGGAUGCACUUUGAAAAAAUAGAAACAAUGGAUGUUGUUUGAUAUUACAAGAUCUAAUCUGACGUAGUGCAAGAAAGAAGUGAGAAGGCACAUUCAUAGAGCAAUUAGCUUGUCUAAGGCGCAUGUCACUAACUCUGCUGCAAAAACAAGACUUUGUCAGAAUGGGGGUAUCAAUCCUAGACAGACAAGCACAACUCCUGAUGACGGGUUUGUAACUGGAAACCUCUUGAUGAGAGGUUUGUUAAAGUAUCCAGGGUGAGCAGUUUACAAAAAUCAUCUUGGUGGUUUUCUAAUAUAUAACGAAUAAAGUACACUGAGUUCUGAAUACUUUGACAAUGAAUUUAUGAGAAUGUUGUACUGUACAUUGUAUAAAAGCAACUGCUUGAACAAAUUAAAACUUGUCAUUAAUUAGAAAAAAGCACAAUAAUUCUGAGCUUGAAUGUAGUGAAUUAUGUAAAACAAAUCUAAUUAAAAUAAAAAUACCAAUUCAAGAAAAUCACAGGAAAAGGAAAUGAGAGAGAUCAGAGGAGACUUCCAAAGGUGUGGGCUAUCUUAUAACUAAAACCUAAAUAUAAAUUUCAUUAUGAUAUUAGAUAGUAGAGACAAUAUACUAAAGUGAAGGAAUUGGUUGUGUGCGUUGUGCCACUCGAUAAGACAAAUCUCUCAACAAGAUAAGCACAGUUAUAUAUUAAUGUUCAACAAUAAGAUAGAUAUGUAUACCGUUCAAGCUCUGAUAGGGGGAACAUUUGUUAAAAAAUGGGGCAAGCUGAAGAUAAUCACAGCUGCACAAAAUAAAAGAGUUCGUGUCAAAAAUUAUGAAUUAGAACUAGUUUAUAUACCCCUUAUAUUUGAAUAACAUCAAAAUUUGAUGAUCAAAUCACAAAAAAAUUGUUUGUCAUUAAUCUAACAAAAUUCAUUCAGAUUUCAGAAAACCUAGACGUAAUGGACUAUUAAAAGAAGAAAGAAAAAAAAAAUUACCUCGAAAAACGUUGUUUGAAGAAGAAGAAAA